UCCCUGGUGGCCUAGUGGGUUAAGGAUCUGGCAUUGUCACUGCUGUGGCAUGGGUUUGAUCCCCAGCCAAGGAA
rnacentral:tRNA from 1 species